UGACACCUAGGGAAACGUGUCCCAUAUGCAAUUCUUCAUUUACCUUGAGAUGUUAUUUUUAUUUUUUUGUCUAUAUCUAUAUACUUCUUCCUUGCGCAAAAGGUAAAUGCCUUUUUUAAAGACGUCAAAUGUUGGUUUGUUUAAAUGCAGAUAUGUUUAUAAAAAUAUCACACACUGCUUUGCGUGCUAUAUAUUGCUGAAUAAUUGAGAUAUUUCCUGGAUCGAAGUGAACGUGUCCCUAUUGAUCGUUCCAUUAUAUUAUGUGCUAGUAUUUACAUCAGCGAUAAGAUGGACAGCCUGCCUUUAAAUCGGAUCAGAAGCCCAACAUCUUACAAUCCUUUUAUCAGCAAAAAUUCAAACUAGUCCUUCUCUGCACCGCUCAAUAAUGUUUUAUCUUCUCAUAUAUAAAUGACAAACGCUUCACUUUUGUCGUUAUUUCUUCAACGUUAGUUCAAGUUAUUUUUUGUUGCUUUUACUAUAUAUUUUGAUAUUUUGGUGGAUUUUUCCGAUCUUUUUUUUAAGGAUUACAGUUUUGAGUAAUUGUGAGAAUUUUUGAUGGAUGCGUUUUAGGAUUAUAAGAAAAUUAUAAGGACAUAUACAUGUCGCAAAUAACAGUUCUAAACAAGAAAGAAGUUAGAAUAUGACUGUACAAUCGUACAUCUUAUUUAAAUUACCCGAGCCACAGACACGUCUUAGCGCAGUUCUAAGGAAGAAAGAAAGCGAGGAAUAUAUUCAUACCGUAAUAGUGGUUUUAAUUACCCGAGCCACAGACACGUCUUAGCGCAGUUCUAAGGAAGAAAGCGAGGAAUAUAUUCCUACUGUAAUAGUGGUUUUUAGGACCGUUAUCUCAUCGAAACAUAAAUCCACAUUAUCAUACAGUUAUUGGCCAUAGGAAUUAAACUUCUAUCGAUCAACUCUUAUCAGUAGAACCAGAAGACCUUCACCAAAACAUACGCAGCCUCGUUCAAAGUGAAUUAAUAUCAUAAUACAUUUAAUGCCAUACGAUUAAUUUUGCGUUAUCUCAGUUUUUAAGACUGUGUUGUUUUUUAACGAUUCUUUAUUUGGCGUUACAAAUUGUUAAUUAGUUUUAACUACGGAAGAUAACGUUGCUGAUUUUUAACUAGGAAAUUAUUCUGUACACCUGAACAGGUUAAUUGUUUUGUUGAACAAAAGAGGGAUGUUUACUUUCUUGCAUCACAAGCUAGAUGAAGUGUAUAAUUAAAUCAGCACCAUCACAAUUUUGAAUAUAAUGACAAUCAUUUAGAUAAGAGAAAAACCUAAUUCAUCAUCUAACUCGGAAUUAUUCCUACAACAAUUUACACAACGGUAGCGAGGCUGGUAAAACUAAUUUACCAUGAACUAAUAUCAAGGUGUCAUCAAUUGAAAUAUAUGUGCUUUUGUAAUGUUUAUUUUUUUUUAUUUCCUUGUGACUUUUGACUUUUUUUCUAAUUAAAUGUAAAAAUUGA